GUGCCAGCCGCCGCGGUAAUACGAAGGGACCUAGCGUAGUUCGGAAUUACUGGGCUUAAAGAGUUCGUAGGUGGUUAAAAAAGUUGGUGGUGAAAUCCCAGAGCUUAACUCUGGAACUGCCAUUAAAACNUUUUAGCUAGAGUGUGAUAGAGGAAAGUAGAAUUUCUAGUGUAGAGGUGAAAUUCGUAGAUAUUAGAAAGAAUACCAAUUGCGAAGGCAACUUUCUGGAUCAUUACUGACACUGAGGAACGAAAGCAUGGGUAGCGAAGAGGAUUAGAUACCCUCGUAGUCCAUGCCGUAAACGAUGUGUGCUAGACGUUGGAAAUUUAUUUUUCAGUGUCGCAGCAAAAGCGUUAAGCACACCGCCUGGGGAGUACGACCGCAAGGUUAAAACUCAAAUGAAUUGACGGGGACCCGCACAAGUAGUGGAGCAUGUGGUUUAAUUCGAAGAUACGCGCAGAACCUUACCAACACUUGACAUGUUCGUCGCGACUCUAAGAGAUUAGAGUUUUCGGUUCGGCCGGACGAAACACAGGUGCUGCAUGGCUGUCGUCAGCUCGUGUCGUGAGAUGUUGGGUUAAGUCCCGCAACGAGCGCAACCCUUACUUUUAGUUGCCACCAUUUAGUUGAGCACUCUGAAAGAACUGCCAGUGAUAAGCUGGAGGAAGGUGGGGAUGACGUCAAGUCCUCAUGGCCCUUACGUGUUGGGCUACACACGUGCUACAAUGGCACUUACAAUAGGAAGCNAAGAGGCGACUCUAAGCAAAUCCUAAAAAAGUGCUUCAGUUCGGAUUGUACUCUGCAACUCGAGUACAUGAAGCUGGAAUUACUAGUAAUCGCGGAUCAGCGCGCCGCGGUGAAUACGUUCCCGGGUCUUGCACACACCGCCCGUC
rnacentral:rRNA from 1 species